rnacentral:rRNA from 1 species
GGAAUCUUGGACAAUGGGGGCAACCCUGAUCCAGCGACGCCGCGUGGGUGAUGAAGGCCUUCGGGUUGUAAAGCCCUUUUACCAGGGAUGAUAAUGACAGUACCUGGAGAAUAAGCUCCGGCUAACUCCGUGCCAGCAGCCGCGGUAAUACGGAGGGAGCUAGCGUUGUUCGGAAUUACUGGGCGUAAAGCGCGCGUAGGCGGCUUUUCAAGUCAGGGGUGAAAUCCCGGGGCUCAACCCCGGAACUGCCCUUGAAACUGGAUGGCUAGAAUACUGGAGAGGUGAGUGGAAUUCCGAGUGUAGAGGUGAAAUUCGUAGAUAUUCGGAAGAACACCAGUGGCGAAGGCGACUCACUGGACAGUUAUUGACGCUGAGGUGCGAAAGCGUGGGGAGCAA